rnacentral:misc_RNA from 1 species
AACGCACCUUGCGCUCCAUUCCGUGGAGCAUGCCUGUUCGAGUGUCAUUAAAUUCUCAGCUAUACCGACUUAUGUUGGCAAUGGUUUGGAUAUGGGGGUUUUUGCAGGCUUUCACAAGUCUGCUCCUCUCAAAUGUAUUAGCUGGUGCACCUUGCGGACCAUCUAUUGGUGUGAUAAUUAUCUACGCCAUUUGAUGAUUUGUUUGCUCUCGGCAUUGCUUCUAAUCGUCCCUAUGGGACAAUAUUGACCAUUUGACCUCGAAUCAGGUAGGACUACCCGCUGAACUUAA